ACUCAGGCACGAUCUGCUUUCCUUAAUAUAUUUAGAAUUUUUUAAAGCGGCAGAAGCGACCUGAAGUCUCAAACCUGAGGGA
rnacentral:ncRNA from 1 species